rnacentral:lncRNA from 10 species
CUUCUGCCUCAGCCUCCCAAGUAACUGGGACUACAGGCACAUGCCACUAUACCCGGGUAAUUUUUUGUAUUUUUAGUAGAGGCAGGUUUCACCAUGUUAGCCAGGAUGGUCUAGAUCUCCUGACCCUGUGACCCGCCUGCCUCAGCCUCCCAAAGUUCUGGGAUUACAGGCAUGAGCCACCGCGCCCAGCCUCUCUGUCUCUUCUUACACCUUUUUUCUUCACGGAUUAAUUGUACUUUGUGAGGCAUGUAGACUAAAGAGUUUUAUACAUUUCAUAUCAGUAUAAAUCUCAUAUCAGUAAACAGCUCUUUGAUUGGUUUGCUAGUUCUCCUUUUGGAGUCAAAUGAUUAUGAAGCCUUUUUUUAAUUUUUAUUUGUUUAUAUAUAUAUUUAUUUGGAGACAGAGUCUCGCUCUGUCACCCAGGCUGGAGUGCAGUGAUGCAAUUUCAGCUCACUGCAACCUCCGCCUCCUGGGUUCAAGUGAUUCUCAUGCCUCAGCCUCCUGAGCAGCUGAGAUUGCAGGCAUCCACCACCACGCCUGGCUAAUUUUUGGAAUUUUAGUAGAGAUGGAGUUUCACCAUAUUGCCCAGGUUGGUCUUGAACUCCUGGCCUCAAGUGAUCCACCCACCUCAGCCUCCCAAAGUGCUGAGAUUACAGGUGUGAGCCACCACACCUGGCCUAUGAAGGCAUUUUUAAUGGACUAUUAAGACAUCUGCUAUUUCAGAAUACUUGCAUUGAGAAACUCAUUUAGCCUAUUUUUUAAAUUAUCUUAUUAAUUAACGAAGUAUUAAUGUUUUAGUAAAAAAUGACUAAUUUCUACUGCUUUGUCUACUUUGACUUUAGUACAGUAUUUGGGGUCCCAAAGAAAGGAGUGUGUCUAUGAAUUUUUAAUAUAAAUGGUAGAAAAAUAAAAUACUUGGAAUUUUACUUUGCAUCAACUUAAGCAGAACAUAUAUAUUAUAUAAAUAGAUAUUACCACUUAUAAAAUAUGGCUGCAGUUUGAAUUUUAAAAGCAGAAGUAAUUGAAAUUGUCUUUAUAGGUUCCCCGAUUGUAACUAAAACCAUAAUGGAGUAACCAAAUAUAAAACUUGUUACUAAACAAAAUUAAUCUAAUUGACUCUAAUCCAAUUAAAAAUGAAAAGAAUGGGUCCUGUGACAGAAGUAAUUGCAAUUUCUAAUUACUUAGUACUAAAAAACUUAGUUACUUAAGCUGUAUAUGUUUAAAUUUAAGCGAUUCUAGGAAAUAUUUUAAUGUAAUGAAAAUGUCAGGCUUCCCUAAAUUCCAAAAUAGACAAUAGGAAAAAUAUAUUAAGUUCUAAGCAUCACUGUUAAAAUUCCCAGUGACUAAGUUGUUGCCUUUGGAAAGAUAGGUGAUGUAAAAUUUCAAGGAAAUAAAUUUAAAUCGAAUAUGACAUUCCUUUGCGGACCACUGACCAACCUGAAGCAAGUGUUGAGGACUCGCCAUCUUUCUCUCAAUUUUUCUCAGUCCUUUUAUUUUUGUCCCUUCUUUUUGGUUUUCUCAAUAUUUUCUGUUUCUUCGUUGUCUACUGUUAACUUUAAAAUUUUUUUUCUUUUGUGCUAACUGCUAAGACAUAAUUUACAUGUUUUAAAAACAGCACAGAUCACAAAUGUUUGGCUUGAAGAAUUUUGACAAAUAAAUUGAGUGUGUGUGUAUACGCACACGCGUAUUUCUUAGCUGGCAACUGGGGUCUAGAGAAGUUGCCAGUUUCCAACUUCUGAAGUAUAGUCAUGCACCACAAAAUGAUGUUUUGGUCAAUAACUGACUGCAUAUACAAUGGUGGUCCCAUAAGAUUAUAAUACUCUUAUUUUUACUGUACCUUUUCAAUGUUUAGGUAUGUUUAGAUACACAAGUACUCACCAUUGUGUUACAACUGCUUGUAGUAUCAAUACAGUGACAUACGGUACAAGUUUGUAGCUUAGGAGCAGUAGGCUAUACCAUAUAGCCUAGGUGUAUAGCAGGCUAUAUCACCCAGAUUUAUGUACACCAUGAUGUUGCCACAAGGACAAAAUUUCUGUGUUGUGCCUAACAACACAUUUCUCAGAAUGUAUCCCUGUCAUUAAAUGAAACAUGACUGUAUUUUCUUAAGCUUAUAACCUCAAAUCAAUAAGUAUUUGUUGAGCACCUCUUAGCAACUCUCCAUCAUGGUAAGCACUGAGUUGGAUUCAAAAUUAUAUGGCUACUUUAAGUUACUGGAAGAAAAAGGACCAGCCCAAUUACCUGAUUCCUCCCACUAUCACCCAAGUUGUUUAACAGAAUACUAGAUUCAGAGUAAGCCCUUAAUAUUUAGCAAGUAUAAGAAUGAAGACUCUGACAUCAUGAAUUAAUAAAAUUUUAUUGAAAGUCUGCAAUGUAACCUCUCUGAAGAAUUUACAAAUGCAAUAAUUGCCUUUUGUCAGAUAAUGUUUACUUGACAGUUACUUUUCUUAGUGUUACAGUUUUGUUUGUUUGAGGGAGAUUUUCCAGAUUGGUUUUUGAAAGGGUAAUUUAAUCACCUUUCACAUUUUAAAACUGCCAAAAGGUAUAUAGUGACAUGUCUCUUACUCAAGUCCUUCUCUGUCUGGACUUAGUUUUCUUUCUUCAAGUAACCAAUCUAUAUCCUUACAGAGGUAUGUCUAAUAUCUUCUGUAAGAAUUAAAGAAAGAGGUAAGAAACAUGAAAAGAUGGCUCGCCAGUCAGGACAGAUUUAUUUAGAGAAAACAAACGUGAGAGGUGCCUUCUGGCCAAGUUAGGUCAGAGGCACACUCACUUACAAACUAAGAGUUUUUAAAGAUUCAGGGUGGGAGAGUUUAUCAGAGGCUUGGACUGCUUCUCUGACUCUUUGUUGUGCUUAUCUGGGAGGGAGAGUUGUGUGUCUGUUCCCAUACAUCUUUCUGCAGCUGCAGGCCUAUCAGUCUGCAUGUAGCUUUUCUAUCCUAGUGCACCUGAAGGGAAAGGAAUGUGCUUAUUAAGGCCCACUAUUUUACUGGGGCCCAUUGUAUGAGGGUGAAGUUUGGCAGUUGCUCAAGAGACUUUCCCCCCACCUCCCUUUGUGCCCAGCUGUCUUAUCUGUAUGUUAUUGUCUGUUCUUUCUGGCUGCUUACAAUUAGAAGAGAAGUAAUUUCCUUGAAAUGCAUGAGGCUAGAAAGGGAGCUGGAAUUUAAAGUGGUGGUGUUUGUCCCAGAUGACAGUGCUCCUGCUCUAUCAUCUUCUUUUUUUUAUACGAAUGGCAGCAUGCCAUAAACACUGUUCUGCACCUUGCUUUUUUUCUUUUUACAGUAUAUCUUAGCGAUCAUGACAUCAUUAAAUAAAAACCAUCCCCAUUAUUUCAUACCGUAAUUGAUUUAGCCAGUUCCGUAUUGAUAUUUAAAUUAUUUCUACUCUGUCCCUAUUAAAAACAAUGCUAUAGUGAAUAACAUUGUACAUAAGUCAGUAUGCAUUUGUGCACAUAAAUUGGGAGAACUAAUUCCCAAAUGUGAGAUUGUUGUGUCAGAGAGGUAUGUACACUUGUAAUUCUGACAGGUUUUGUCAGCCUGCUUUCCAUAAGAGAUAGUACUAAUUUAUGCUCCUGCCAGCAAUGUAUGAGAGUAUGCCCCCCUACACUUCCUUCAACCUUUCAAUCUUUGCGAUUCUGAUAAGUGAAAAUGGAAUCCCAGUAUAGUUUUUAGUGUACAUUUUACCUGUUUUAAGUAAGACUGAGCAUAUCUCCACAUGUUUGAGAGUCAUUUCUAUUUCCGUUUCUGUGAACAUCCUUUGCCCAUUUUUUUCCUGUUGGUUACUGAUCUUUUUCUUAAUGAUUUGCUGAGAUAUAUACAUAGGGAUAAUUGCUCUUUUUUGGUCCUAUGAGGCGCAAAUAUUUUUUCCUCAAGUUUCCACGUGUCUUUUGAGUUUGCUUUUGGUGGUUUUUGCCAUUCAGUUUUUUUCCAAUGUCAAAUUUAUAAGUUUUUAUAUAAUGCCUUUUGGAUUGCAGGUCAUGAUUAGAAAGGAAAAUUUUGAGGUGGGCACACUGUAUUACUCUGAACAGCCUUAGCAAACUUCAAAAAGGAAUGGAGCCAAGAACUGCACGGGAGCCCAAGGCAGGGAAGUAGGUAACUUAGCUGAGUAAGGACCUCACAAUAUAGCUCUACUAUAGUCACUUUGACAUGGAUUUUGAGUACCGUUAUAUCAGCCAGGGUUCUUAUUCCAAACGAUAGAAACUGACUAGUUAACUUAAGCAGAAAAGGAAAGAUAUCAGCUAGCUCAGUGAAUCUAAGCAAAGCCUGCAUAAUAAGGGUCAGAAAAUAGAAAUGACCCAGGGAACCCAUAUCCAAGAUCCUGCACAAGCCCAAACCUGGUUAGGGCUGCUACUGCCAGUGACAUCAGUGCCCCUGGAAACUGGAUCCUGACAGCAGAAUGAAUUAACUUUCCCCACUUUAUUGUGUCACUUGCCUCAGAUCUAUUAAGUCAGUUGCCUCAGAUUCAAACUCUUGGGUAGAAGCAUUCAGUUGCCCAGACAAUCACGAAAAUUAAAGACUAAUGAAGCUGAAAUAAUAAUUUAACCAAAGACUGGUGAGGAACUAGCUGAUGUAAAGUACUUUAUUUAGAGUUCUGGUUAUAUUUCCCUGUCAUGUAAAAGUUUCAACUUUAGUAAAGAUGAUGAUCUGCCAAGAAAAAGUUUCAUAGUUUGUUUACUCUAAAACUGUGGGAUACUUGAGUGAUGAAUUUAUCAGUGCCUUUUGUCAUGAGUUCAAUUCUAAUACAUGCAGAGAUAAGAUUAUUUCAGAUCUAUUACAACAUUUUUAUUCUGUUGUAGUAAUAGUAAUGAUGCAUUUAGCAUAAUUUUAUUCAGUAUUUUUUUAGCAUCUACAGUUUCUAUGGAAACAGAUUUAACGCUGACCCCAAUUCUCUGAGCUUUUCUCAACAUGCAGUUGUUUUCAAAAUGAAAGACCCUCAGAUUAUAUUAUUCAUUUGAUUUUAUUCCAGUCAAAUUCUGCUACAACAUAUUUGUUUUUAACUAUGACAGGGUUUACAGGGAAACAAUGGGAUUAGAGUACAAUGCUCAAAAGCUUCAAUGACAUAUUAAAAAAAGAUAGGAACCAACAUGGUGAAACCCCGUCUCUACUAAAAAUACAAAAAUUAGCCGGGUGUGGUGGCAGGCACCUGCAAUCCCACCUACUCAGGAGGCUGAGGCAGGAGAAUCACUUAAACCUGGGAGGCAGAGGUUGCAGUUUGCUGAGAUCACUCCACUGCACUCCAGCUUGGGUGAUAGAGCAAGACUCAGUCUCAAAAAAAG